CCUACGGGUCGCACCAGUAGGGAAUCUUCCGCAAUGGACGAAAGUCUGACGGAGCAACGCCGCGUGAGUGAUGAAGGCUUUCGGGUCGUAAAACUCUGUUGUUAGGGAAGAACAAGUGCUAGUUGAAUAAGCUGGCACCUUGACGGUACCUAACCAGAAAGCCACGGCUAACUACGUGCCAGCAGCCGCGGUAAUACGUAGGUGGCUAGCGUUAUCCGGGAUUAUUGGGCGUAAAGCGCGCGCAGGCGGUUUCUUAAGUCUGUUGUGAAAGCCCACGGCUCAACCGUGGAGGGUCAUUGGAAACUGGGAGACUUGAGUGCAGAAGAGGAAAGUGGAAUUCCAUGUGUAGCGGUGAAAUGCGUAGAGAUAUGGAGGAACACCAGUGGCGAAGGCGACUUUCUGGUCUGUAACUGACACUGGGGCGCGAAAGCGUGGGGAGCAAACAGGAUUAGAUACCCGCGUAGUC
rnacentral:rRNA from 1 species